AGGACGAACGCUGGCGGCGUGCUUAACACAUGCAAGUCGAGCGGUAAGGCCCUUUCGGGGGCACACGAGCGGCGAACGGGUGAGUAACGCGUGAGCAAUCUGCCCUUCACUUCGGGAUAAGCCUCGGAAACGGGGUCUAAUACCGGAUAUGACUGCGCCAUGCAUGUGGUGUGGUGGAAAGUUCUGGCGGUGAGGGAUGAGCUCGCGGCCUAUCAGCUUGUUGGUGGGGUAAUGGCCUACCAAGGCUUCGACGGGUA
rnacentral:rRNA from 1 species